rnacentral:rRNA from 1 species
UGCUAGUCGCGCGGGUUUAGACCCGCGGCAGAUAGCUCAGUAACACGUGGCCAAACUACCCUAUGGACGGGAAUAACCUCGGGAAACUGAGGCUAAUCCCCGAUACAGCUCUCAGACUGGAGUGUCGAGAGCUGGAAACGCUCCGGCGCCAUAGGAUGUGGCUGCGGCCGAUUAGGUAGACGGUGGGGUAACGGCCCACCGUGCCUAUAAUCGGUACGGGUUGUGAGAGCAAGAACCCGGAGACGGUAUCUGAGACAAGAUACCGGGCCCUACGGGGCGCAGCAGGCGCGAAACCUUUACACUGCACGACAGUGCGAUAGGGGGACUCCGAGUGCGAGGGCAUAUAGCCCUCGCUUUUCUGUACCGUAAGGUGGUACAGGAACAAGUGCUGGGCAAGACCGGUGCCAGCCGCCGCGGUAAUACCGGCAGCACGAGUGAUGGCCGCUAUUAUUGGGCCUAAAGCGUUCGUAGCCGGCCGGUCAAGUCUGUUGGGAAAUCGACGCGCUCAACGCGUCGGCGUCCAGCGGAAACUGACUGGCUUGGGGCCGGAAGAUCUGAGGGGUACGUCCGGGGUAGGAGUGAAAUCCCGUAAUCCUGGACGGACCACCGGUAGCGAAAGCGCCUCAGAAAGACGGACCCGACGGUGAGGAACGAAAGCUAGGGUCUCGAACCGGAUUAGAUACCCGGGUAGUCCUAGCUGUAAACGAUGCUCGCUAGGUGUGCCGCAGGCUACGAGCCUGCGCUGUGCCGUAGGGAAGCCGAGAAGCGAGCCGCCUGGGAAGUACGUCUGCAAGGAUGAAACUUAAAGGAAUUGGCGGGGGAGCACUACAACCGGAGGAGCCUGCGGGUUUAAUUGGACUCAACGCCGGGACAUCUCACC